rnacentral:rRNA from 1 species
AGUCAGAGGCGAUGAAGGGCGUGCUAAUCUGCGAUAAGCGCCGGUAAGGUGAUAUGAACCGUUAUAACCGGCGAUACCCGAAUGGGGAAACCCAGUGUGACUCGUCACACUAUCAUUAACUGAAUCCAUAGGUUAAUGAGGCGAACCGGGGGAACUGAAACAUCUAAGUACCCCGAGGAAAAGAAAUCAACCGAGAUUCCCCCAGUAGCGGCGAGCGAACGGGGAGGAGCCCAGAGCCUGAAUCAGCAUGUGUGUUAGUGGAAGCGUCUGGAAAGGCGCGCGAUACAGGGUGACAGCCCCGUACACAAAAGCGCAUGUGUUGUGAGCUCGAUGAGUAGGGCGGGACACGUGGUAUCCUGUCUGAAUAUGGGGGGACCAUCCUCCAAGGCUAAAUACUCCUGACUGACCGAUAGUGAACCAGUACCGUGAGGGAAAGGCGAAAAGAACCCCGGCGAGGGGAGUGAAAAAGAACCUGAAACCGUGUACGUACAAGCAGUGGGAGC